rnacentral:tRNA from 1 species
AUCAGUGUGGUGUAGUGGUUUGAGCAUUGGACUAUGACUCUGAAGGCCAGGGUUCAAAUCCCUACUCAGACA